GACGUAGGGGGCCAGCGUUGUUCGGAAUUACUGGGUGUAAAGGGUUCGUAGGCGGUGCGGCAAGUCGGGAGUGAAAUCUCUGGGCUUAACCCAGAGGCUGCUUCCGAAACUGCUGUGCUUGAGUGUGGGAGAGGCGCGUGGAAUUGCAGGUGUAGCGGUGAAAUGCGUAGAUAUCUGCAGGAACACCCGUGGCGAAAAGCGGCGCGCUGGCCACUACUGACGCUGAGGAACGAAAAGCUAGGGGGAGCAAACAGG
rnacentral:rRNA from 1 species